rnacentral:rRNA from 1 species
AUACGGAGGAUGCGAGCGUUAUCCGGAUUUAUUGGGUUUAAAGGGAGCGUAGGCGGGAGCUUAAGUCAGCGGUUAAAUGGUGCGGCUCAACCGUGCCCUGCCGUUGAAACUGGGUUUCUUGAGAGUGCAAGAGGCGGAUGGAAUUCAUGGUGUAGCGGUGAAAUGCUUAGAUAUCAUGAAGAACUCCGAUUGCGAAGGCAGUCCGCUGGGGCACGUCUGACGCUGAUGCUCGAAGGUGCGGGAAUCAAACAGGAUUAGAUACCCUGGUAGUCCGCACGGUAAACGAUGAUUACCCGCUGUCGGCGGUAGACAGUCGGCGGCCAAGCGAAAGCGAUAAGUAAUCCACCUGGGGAGUACGCCGGCAACGGUGAAACUCAAAUGAAUUGACGGG